rnacentral:rRNA from 1 species
GACGAACGCUGGCGGCGUGCUUAACACAUGCAAGUCGAGCGAUGAAGUUCCUUCGGGAACGGAUUAGCGGCGGACGGGUGGGUAACACGUGGGUAACCUGCCUCAUAGAGGGGAAUAGCCUUCCGAAAGGAAGAUUAAUACCGCAUAAGAUUGUAGUUUCGCAUGAAACAGCAAUUAAAGGAGUAAUCCGCUAUGAGAUGGACCCGCGUCGCAUUAGCUAGUUGGUGAGGUAACGGCUCACCAAGGCGACGAUGCGUAGCCGACCUGAGAGGGGGAUCGGCCACAUUGGGACUGAGAGACGGCCCAGACGCCUACGGGAGGCAGCAGUGGAGAAUAUUGCACAAUGGGGGAAACCCUGAUGCAGCAACGCCGCGUGAGUGAUGACGGUCUUCGGAUUGUAAAACUAUGUCUUCAGGGACGAUAAUGACGGUACCUGAGGAGGAAGCCACGGCUAACUACGUGCCAGCAGCCGCGGUAAUAC